rnacentral:rRNA from 1 species
AGAUGGCCUGCUUCUCAAUAGCUAUUGGUGCGGUAACUGCCUACCGAGGCGACGAUUCAUAACCGACCUGAUACGGUGACCAGCCCACUGGGACUCAGACACGGUCCAGACUCCUACACGGACGCAACUCUAAGGAAUUUUCCACAAUGGACAAACUUCUGAUGGAGACAACGCCUCGAGAAAGAUGAAGCGUCUUCGGAUUGUAAAGGUCUGUUGAUCAGAGACGAACUAUUGCCGUUCAAAAAGGGCGGUACCUUGACUGUCCUGACGAGAAAGCCACGGCUAACUACGUGCCAGCUACCGCGGUACUACGUAGGUGGCAAGCGUUGUCCGGAAUUAUUGGGCGUAAAAGCUCGCAGGCGGCUAUGUAAGUCUGGUGUUAAAGCCCGGGGCUCUUCCCGGUUCGCUCGGACCUGUGUACCUUGAAUGCGUAAGAGAAAGUGCAUUCCACGUGUAGCGGUUAAAUGCGUAAGAUGUGGAGGAACACAAUGGCGAAGGCAGCUUUCUGGUCUGUAACUUUCCUGAGGUCAAAACGUGGGGAGCAACAGGAUUAGAACCCUGGUAUCCA